rnacentral:misc_RNA from 1 species
GAAAUGCGAUAAGUAAUGUGAAUUGCAGAAUUCCGUGAAUCAUCGAAUCUUUGAACGCACAUUGCGCCUCUGGUAUUCCGGGGGGCAUGCCUGUCCGAGCGUCAUUGCGAACCCCUCAAGCACGGCUUGUGUGAUGGGCCCUCCCGCGUCUUGGUCGUCAAGACGGGCCCGAAAUGCAGUGGCGGCUUCGCGGUUAUCCGAUCAGCCAGAGCGUAUGGGGACUCUCUCUCUUGUCACACGCCCGCGGCGCGGACCGACGCCUGUCGACCUUUAUUCAUCUUCUCUCGGUUGACCUCGGAUCAGGUAGGGAUACCCGCUGAACUUAAGC